rnacentral:rRNA from 1 species
UACGUAGGGUGCGAGCGUUGUCCGGAAUUAUUGGGCGUAAAGAGCUUGUAGGCGGUUUGUCGCGUCUGCUGUGAAAAUCCGGGGCUCAACCCCGGACUUGCAGUGGGUACGGGCAGACUAGAGUUCGGUAGGGGAGUGUGGAAUUCCUGGUGGAGCGGUGAAAUGCGCAGAUAUCAGGAGGAACACCCGUAGCGAAGGCGGCACUCUGGGCCGGAACUGACGCUGAGGAGCGAAAGCGUGGGGAGCGAACAGG